rfam:PVC group bacterium (ex Bugula neritina AB1) isolate AB1-3 AB834_contig000086, whole genome shotgun sequence.
UGGGAUGUGACGUAGUGGUAGCGUAUUUAUUUUGGGAGUAAAAAGUCAUAGGUUCAAUUCCUAUCAUCCCGA